GCCGGUAUGGCGGAACUGGUAGACGCGACGGACUCAAAAUCCGUUACUCGAAAGGGUGUGUGGGUUCGAUUCCCUCUACCGGCACCA
rnacentral:tRNA from 1 species